rnacentral:rRNA from 1 species
UACGUAGGUGGCAAGCGUUGUCCGGAUUUACUGGGCGUAAAGGGAGCGUAGGCGGACUUUUAAGUGGGAUGUGAAAUACCCGGGCUUAACCUGGGUGCUGCAUUCCAAACUGGAAGUCUAGAGUGCAGGAGGGGAAAGUGGAAUUCCUAGUGUAGCGGUGAAAUGCGUAGAGAUUAGGAAGAACACCAGUGGCGAAGGCGACUUUCUGGACUGUAACUGACGCUGAGGCUCGAAAGCGUGGGGAGCGAACAGG